GACGAACGCUGGCGGCGUGCCUAAUACAUGCAGGUCGAGCGAAGUUUUUCUGGUGCUUGCACUAGAAAAACUUAGCGGCGCACGGGUGAGUAACACGUAAAGAACCUGCCUCAUAGACUGGGACAACUAUUGGAAACGAUAGCUAAUACCGGAUAACAGUAUUUCUCGCAUGAGAGAUAUUUAAAAGUUGGUUAUGCUAACACUAUGAGAUGGCUUUGCGGUGCAUUAGCUAGUUGGUGGGGUAAAGGCCCACCAAGGCGACGAUGCAUAGCCGACCUGAGAGGGUGAUCGGCCACACUGGGACUGAGACACGGCCCAGACUCCUACGGGAGGCAGCAGUAGGGAAUCUUCCGCAAUGGGCGAAAGCCUGACGGAGCAACGCCGCGUGAGUGAAGAAGGAUUUCGGUUCGUAAAGCUCUGUUGUUAGGGAAGAAUGGAUAUGUAGUAACUAUACAUGUAAGAGACGGUACCUAACCAGAAAGCCACGGCUAACUACGUG
rnacentral:rRNA from 1 species